GAAAUGCGAUAAGUAAUGUGAAUUGCAGAAUUCAGUGAAUCAUCGAAUCUUUGAACGCACAUUGCGCCCCCUGGUAUUCCGGGGGGCAUGCCUGUUCGAGCGUCAUUUCACCACUCAAGCCUCGCUUGGUAUUGGGCAACGCGGUCCGCCGCGUGCCUCAAAUCGACCGGCUGGGUCUUCUGUCCCCGAAGCGUUGUGGAAACUAUUCGCUAAAGGGUGUUCGGGAGGCUACGCCGUAAAACAACCCCAUUUCUAAGGUUGACCUCGGAUCAGGUAGGGAUACCCGCUGAACUUAAGC
rnacentral:misc_RNA from 1 species